AAAAUUAACAUAUGGUUAAAUUUCUUGACCAAUAACUUCACUCUCUAAAAUAUGAAUCUGCGCGAUGGUGAAAUAUAGAUUUCGUUGGAUUGGGAAAAGAAACGACAAUGGAGGGAAGCUCAAGCAUGGUGAGCAACCAGCAUGACAAGGCAAAGAAAGGGUUGGAAGGCAGUGCCUUAGAUUUACCCAUCAACCGUUAUGCCAAUUUGAAAAGCGCUACAAGCGAUGACGACUUCACCAAUGUUCUCGCACUCAUCAAAUCCUCCAAAACCCCCGUAAGCAAAACUACACCCCCAAUGUUAAGGCUGUUAUCAAUUAUGGCGCUUCUUGGUGCCGCGUCUGUAGCCAGAUUCUCCCAGCAUUCUGCAGACUCAGCAAUAAUUUUCCAAAGCUUACCUUUGUGUACGCAGACAUUGAUGAAUGCCCGGAAACAACUCAACACAUUCGCUACACGCCAACCUUCCAAUUUUACCGGAAUGGUGAAAAGGUAGAUGAGAUGUAUGGCACUGGAGAAGAGAGGCUCCAUGAUCGCCUGUGGUUGCACUCUUAACUACUCCGCGUAAGAGAAACAUCAUGUUUGCAAUUUCUCUAUGCACAAGUAGCAACGAAUUCGAUCGUAGGUGGCUAACUAACUUAUGCAUUUGGCUUGAGGAUUUUCACGGUCUCCCAAGUGAAAUCAGGAUCAUCACGUCCAAAAUGCCCAUAAGCAGCAGUUUUCUGGUACCUGCAGUUGCCUCCUCUCAUGAGAUCAAGAUUGAUGGCAAUCAUUCCUGGCCUGAAGUCAAACUUCUCCUUGAUCAGAGCCAAGAUAUCCUUGUCUGGAAUCUUUCCCGUUUUGUAUGUGUCCACAAACACUGAAAGGGGCUCUGGGACUCCAAUUGCAUAAGAAACCUGCACAAUACAACGUCGAGCAAGUCCUGAAGCUACCACACUCUUGGCUGCUUGCCUGACAAUGUAUGCGCCACUCCUAUCAACCUUGGUUGGGUCCUUGCCGGAGAAGGCACCGCCGCCAUGAGCACCCCAACCGCCAUAGGUGUCUAUAAUGAUCUUCCUUCCAGUGAGUCCUGCAUCUCCAUGUGGUCCACCAAUGACAAACCUACCAGAGGGGUUGAGGUGGAAGAUAGUUUUGUCAUCUAUAUAUUUGGCUGAGAUGACGGGUUUGAUCACUUUCUCUUUCAAAUCUUCAGCAAUUUGCUCAUUUGUGACAGUUUCAUCAUGCUGAGUUGAGAUGAGGACUGUGUGGACCCUGAUAGGGACCAUGGCUCCAUUAUCGUUUUUGUACUCAACUGUCACUUGGGUUUUACCAUCUGGCCUCAGCCAGGGACAUGUUUUGUUCUUUCUCACUUCAGUGAGCUUGGCACCAAGUUUAGUAGCAAGCACAUGAGUGAGUGGCAUUAGCUCCGGUGUUUCGUCUGUGGCAUAACCAAACAUGUGGCCUUGGUCACCAGCACCAAUUUCCUCUGGCUUUUUGGUCAAGUGACCAUGAACUCCUUGAGCAAUAUCAGGACUCUGCUGCUCAAUGUUGACCAGAACUUUGCAAUUGUCAGCAUCAAGACCAACAUCCGCCGACACGAACCCAAUGCCUCUGCAAGUAUCUCGAACUAUUUUCUCGUAGUUCACAUUGGCCUUGGUUGUUAUCUCACCAAACACCAUAACCAUGUUAGUUUUUGUACAGGUUUCACACGCCACCUUGCUGUCUGGGUCUUGCUCCAAGCAUGCAUCCAGGAUGGCAUCUGAAACCUGGUCACACAACUUGUCCGGAUGCCCUUCGUUAACGGAUUCUGAGGUGAAGAGGAAAGUUUCCAUCUCUGGUGCAAAGAAAACAAAAGGGGUCAAAUUGUGUUGUCGAUAGAAACUACGGAAGCAAUUAACUUGACAAUAUCUACAUAUUCAAUUCCAUGGACCUAAAAUAUUGAUUUUAUUACAAGAA